UGCCGGGGACUCGUGGUUUAACUAUCCUAGUAGUAUGAUUAUUGAUUAAAUUUGACUUGAUUUUUGUUUUUAUUUAUAUUUUUUUUUUAUAAAAGUGCUUUUUAGGAUUUUGUUUCUUGUGUAUGCAGGAUACGAUUCAUACUAGAAGCAAGAAAAGUAUAAAACCUCUUCUUGAAGGCUUAAGUGAAACUCGAAGGAGAGGGAAGGUUCGAAGAUCAUCUAGAGAAUUAUUCCCCUCUCCUGAGAGACUGUUGCAACCCUCACUAGAAGCAUCUAUCCAGAAAACAGAAGAGAUGGCUGAGGAGGAAGCUCCUAGGAGACGCACUCUAGCGGAUGCUACCA
rnacentral:lncRNA from 1 species